CAUGCACGUCUAAGUACAAACUAAAUGAUGGUGAAACUGCAAAUGGCUCAUUACAACGGUUAUGAUGUACCCGGGAGUUCCGAUGGAUAUUUCCAGUAACACUAGAACUAAUACAUGUCCCUGCGUUUAUUAGUUUCGCACAGUCCGUCGCUGAGUCAUGGUAAACAGUUGAUCGACUCGACGUCCCGGAACAGUUUCCGCCCCAUCAGCUUCGAUGGUUGGGUAUUGGCCUACCAUUGCAACAACGGGUAACGAGGAAUUAGGGUUUGAUUUCGGAGAGGGAGCCUGAGAAACGGCUACCACAUCUACGGAUGGCAGCAGGCGCGCAAAUUACCCAAUGCAGACACUGUGAGGUAGUGACGAGAAAUAAUAAAGCGGGACUUCUGUUUCGUUAUUAUAAUGAGGAAUAACCAAAGGUCAUUCCGAUUAGCAACUGAUGGGAAAGUCUGGUGCCAGCAGCCGCGGUAAUACCAGCGUCAGUAGCAUAUAUUAAAAUUGUUGCAGUUAAAACGUCCGUAGUCUGUACGUCGUCCCAAACUCACUGCAGUCUUCCGUUUUCUUCAUUGAAUGCGGUAGUUUCUGCAGUCACUCCCUUGAUCAAAUUAGGUUGUUCAAGGUAGACCAAGUCUUCAUAUUUUCACAUGGAAUUGGGUGAGGGAACUUAAGAGUUUAAGUUUCUCGUCUUAGGAUCAUCCGGGGUCAUUCGUACUCGUCCGCGAGAGGUGAAAUUCUUGGACCGGACGAAGACGACCAGCAGCGAAAGCAUCUGUCAGGGAUGUUUUCUGCGACAAAGGACGAAGGUCAGGGUAUC
rnacentral:rRNA from 1 species